AUGAGGGUGUUAUUCUGGAAUAUUAGGGGGUUCGGUGCUAGGGGGCGCCGUGACCAACUUAAAGAGUUGGUUCAUUCUAAUUCUAUUGACUUUGUGGGGCUGGUUGAAACCUUCAAGGAUUCCUUCUCCCCUAAUGAUUUCUCUGCUAUUGUGGGCAUGGACAUAUUUAAUUGGCAAUUUUUACCUGCUUCGGGUCACUCUGGUGGGAUAUUGAUUGGCUCCAAUAAAGAUAUUUUUGAUUUUGUUGCUUUUGAUCAUGGGAUCUUUUGGGCCAGUGUUGUUCUAUCUCAUAAAGCUAUGAAUAUUCUCUGUGAGUUUAUCGUUGUUUAUGGGUCUGCAGACCAUUCUUUGUCGGCUUUAUUCCUUAAUGAACUUUCGUUGAAGAUCGAUUCUUGUAACUUACCGAUGGUUAUCGGGGGAGACUUUAAUCUUAUGCGGUGCCCUAAUGACAAUAGUAAUGAUAACUUCUCCUGGCCUCUGGCUAAUGCCUUUAACGACUUCAUUAGUGCUAAUGCUAUUCGUGAGCUUCCCCGGGGGGAGCCCGCUAUACAUGGUCCAAUCAUCAGGCUAAUCCUAUUAGAUCUGUGCUUGAUAGAGUCUUCCUGUGUCCCAGUUGGGAUUCCUUGUUCCCUAGGGCUUCUCUUAACGCCAAAUGCAUUAUCGGUUCUGAUCGUACCCCUUAAUUCUUGA
rnacentral:rRNA from 1 species